rnacentral:rRNA from 1 species
UAAUACGUAGGGGGCGAGCGUUGUCCGAAGUUACUGGGCGUAAAGCGCGCGUAGGCGGUUGUUUAAGUUAGAUGUGAAAUCCCGCGGCCCAACUGCGGAACUGCAUCUGAAACUGGGCGACUUGAGGACGGAAGAGGGCAGUGGAAUUCCUGGUGUAGCGGUGAAAUGCGUAGAUAUCAGGAGGAACACCGGUGGCGAAGGCGGCUGCCUGGUCCGUAUCUGACGCUGAGGUGCGAAAGCUAGGGUAGCGAACGGG